GACGUAGGGGGCGAGCGUUGUCCGGAUUCAUUGGGCGUAAAGCGCGCGUAGGCGGCUGCGCAAGUCGGUUGUGAAACCCCGGGGCUCAACCCCGGAACUGCAUCCGAUACUGCGUGGCUAGAGGUAGGUAGGGGAGAUCGGAAUUCCUGGUGUAGCGGUGAAAUGCGUAGAUAUCAGGAGGAACACCUGCGGUGUAGACAGCUUACUGGACCACGACUGACGCUGAGGCACGAAAGCGUGGGUAGCAAACAGG
rnacentral:rRNA from 1 species